rnacentral:rRNA from 1 species
AGCGAACGUUAGCGGCGGGCCUAACACAUGCAAGUCGAGGGAGAAAGGGCUUCGGCUCCUAGUAAACCGGCGAACGGGUGAGUAACACGUGGGCAACCUACCCUUCAGCGGGGGACAACAGUUCGAAAGGACUGCUAAUACCGCAUACGUCGGCGAGGACUUCGGUCCUUGCCGGGAAAGACGGCCUCUCCAUGGAAGCUGUCACUGAAGGAUGGGCCCGCGUCCCAUCAGCUAGUUGGUGAGGUAACGGCUCACCAAGGCUAAGACGGGUAGCUGGUCUGAGAGGAUGAUCAGCCACACUGGGACUGAGACACGGCCCAGACUCCUACGGGUGGCAG